ACUACAAAUCACUGUUCGUUUUGUCGUGUCGUACGUCCUUAACCUGGUCUUACCCCUGGAAGCUUUGUGCACGCUAUACUUACGACAGACCAAACUGAAAACAAAAGUACACCAUGUACAGCCAGAACAAAUGAAGCUGUUCCUCGCCACCACAGAUUCUACUUUGGAAAGCCAGAUUUUGUGAUCCAGAGCAAAGAGGGAGCUUACAAAAGGCUUUGGUUUUCGUUUAAGACAGAGUGCAAAGAGAUGAUGACUACCAGAAAGAAGUGGAAACUGAACAAGCAUGUGGUGAGCAGAAACAGAACAGCACCACCAAACAGCCCUGCGUCAGACUCCUGCCUGUUCACACAAGAUAAAGAGAGGGUGACACAAAAACACCCCCAUGGAAAGAAAGCUUACGACUGAUGACACAUCUGACUGCUCUCCCACUAGCUUACCCAGAGUUGGAGGAAGCAAGAAGAGACAGUCUUCAUCUCUGCCCAAUAUAUGCAAAACAGCAUAGAAAGCAAAGGCCCUAAACUGGGGCGACGGAGCAUCAGUCUUCCAUCCUCGUCACGGACUCGAUGAGUGCACUGGAAAAAGUGGAGAAGCACAUGGUGUAAGCUGACUGGCAAGAGGCAAUACGAAAAGAAUGCUUGUGUACCCUCAUCGCUUGAAGGUCACGUCAAGCGAAGCCAUAGAAGGGUCGUUGUCCUUUUCUGAGAGUCGGCCUGUGAGACAAGAAAGCUUGCCCAUCACUCACCAGUAGAGAGAUCAGAGCCAGCACAGAGAUGUAUUGUGUUAUUGUUAAGGGAUGUCACAUACACAUGUAUCUCUGAAAUAUUCGUAUUUGUUGUCUAAUAAAUAACACAGACGUAAUCUGACGGCAUCAACAA
rnacentral:lncRNA from 1 species